AUGGCAGGGAGGGGGUGCUGUUCUGAGGGCCCCCGCCGGCCCCCCUCGUCGGCUGCAGCCUUUGGGAUGAUCGUCUCCUCUCUGCAGGCUCGCUGGCUCCUGGGGGCCACGGGGAAAAGCAGAGUGGCAAGCCCAAAGGGCAGUGGGUGGCCCCUGGGGGACGGUGUUCAGAAGGCCUCUGCUGACUGUGCAUCUGUCCCCCCGAAGGUGAGCGGUCCGAGGGGAGGAGCAGCCUGCUGGGUCAGCGAGGGCCACUGUCGGGCUCCAAGGGCGCGGCGGGGGGAGACGGAGGCCAACCACAUCAUCGCGGGGCCGAAGGGACAGACACGGAGCCACCGAAGGAAACACGACAGGCAGGAGAGAGUAAGUGAGAGAAACACAAGGGGAGACGGGAACAGAGAUGCCCGGAGAGGAGAGACCGAGAGACAGAGGGGCCCGGGUCUGGCUGCGGGUGGACGGCUUCUCCCUGCCUGACCCCUUGCACACCUUGCCCCCCCGCCCCCAGGGCAUUCCUCGCAGAGGGGGGCAAGUUGGACACUGAGUGCAACAGGGGAUGCGGGGAUGCGGGAGGAAGGAGGGAAGGACACGCGACUACAUGUGACUCUGAGCUCCGGGACACAUCCCGUCACCCCAUCUGACAUGUGUUUUCUAACAGCCUGAGGAGCCGGACACCUUCAGCGUGCCCCCGCCAGCACCGCGAAAGGAGGCUCCCCCUGCAAACAUUGGGUGGCAGGUAGAGGUGGGUGAAGCAGAAAUAGAAUAUCAGGCUUACAGUUGUGCCGGGUGUCCCUUCUCGGGUGAGGUUCUGGAAGCCUCACCUCUUCCCUGGGAGGUUAAUUGUGUGGGGACAGAAAUCUCCUUUCAGCCAAAAAAAAAAGGGGGGGGGAUGUAUUAUUUCAUCUCCCAGGUGGCCUUCAGGCUCAGCUCGAUCCAGAUGUGCAGACGAUGUUUCUAGCACCUGGGCGUCUCUCGGUCUCUUUGUUCUGUUUUCUUAUGCACCGGCUCUGUUCUCAGGCGGCUCCGUCGGCUCCCUCAGAAGCAGAUCCUGAGACAAGAAUUUGAAAUGAGAUUAGUGAUGUUGGCAGUGAUUUCAGAAAUCCCUGGGAGGGGAGUGGGGUGUGUGUGUAUGUGUCAGACACAGGAAAGGGAGGGCAACUUCAAGGAAGCACAGUCAGCAUGGGGGCAGCUGGAGCUCAGUCCCACUGGGGUCCUCAAGGAGGUGGUGAGGGACACGCACCCCAAAGCCAUUUCAUCUGAUCGCCUGAGGAGCGCGAGAGAUGGAGUGUUGGUCCACGGGGUCCCACAGGUCGUGGGUCCGGGGCCGCUCCCAGGGGUGCUCACUGGCUGGCUCACGUGGGCAGAGCAGGUUCCAGCAGCUAGAGGAGCCCUCGAGGGGGUCGGGGGGUGGGGGAGGUACACGCUGCCGACAGGUUGAUCGUGGACCUCUGGUCUCCAGAACUUGGAAAAAAAUAAAUUUCGGAUGUUCUCAGCCGCCCAGCUCGCGGUGCUCUGCUGCGCAGCCCUAGGAAACCAAGACGCCUCGUUAUCAGCUGCCGUCUUUGGAGAACCUUUCUCUGCCUUUUCCCCCAUAAUCGUCCGUCAUUCCUCUACUUACCAAACAUCCCCUAAAUAUCCACGCUCCCAUCGUCUUCCCUUAAGGCCGUGGUGAGAAUCACAACAUAAAACCCCAAGUCUCUCACCACAAAGGGCUGGGACUUGAAAAAUGCAAAGACACAGAUGUAGGAUUCCAGCGGGGCCCAGGCCCGUCCCUUAGGGAAAUGAGCAGUGGCUUGAACAAGACGACAGCCGCCAGCACCAGUGACUUCUGGGAAUGAUGCCCCUGUGGGUGGGGGGACAAGCACCUUCAGUCCCCUUCGCUUGCUCACUCGGGCUGCGGUGUCCCCUCUGAGCCUGUCUCUGCUCCCCGGACUCUCCGUCCUCCCCUCCGCAGCUUCCCGGCCUCCUGGUCCCUCUCCAGUCUGCCCUCCAGCCGGAACCGUCUCUGGUCAGAAGCACUAAU
rnacentral:lncRNA from 1 species